AGCCCUAAUGCACACAUAGCUGACAUCAACUUCCGUCAGGCAGCUCCGAGAGAUCGAACCUUUCGAUUGUAACUGGGACAAUUUGCAUAGUGAUUCCCUUUCAGAGCUUUCCCGAGUCCAUAACGAGCCCAGGCAGCUAUUCAAAUGCAAGUUGCAUCCCCAAACGCGAGGCUGGCCUGACCAAAAAGAGCCACUCGGCGCCCGAGACAGGCGAGGCUCGCGCUCCGGGUCUCGUCCCUCUCUUUUCUCCUUUCCUCUCCCUUUUGCUCCUCUGCUUCCUGGUCUAACUGGGAGCUGUUUAUUUAUGGCUGCAAAUGUGUGCGUGCGAGAGAAGGAGAGAGCGAGAGGAAGGGGGGGGGGGCGGUGGCGGGAUUGAUCUUUUGCCUGGACUUAAAGAUGGAGCCGAAGAAGCUGGAGGGAAUUUGGGUUUGCGCGCCGGGCUCCGACCCUGGGCGCCGAGCCCUGCGUGCCUCCGCCCGCGACCACGCAGGAAUCCGUGGGCCCAGGAGCAGCCCGGAUGGUCCACCUGCCCCGCGGUCGCGCUACCGAGAAAGUCUUCGCGCUGGGGGCCCAUCCCACCCCUGUGUUUAAAACGAGCGCAAUAAAAGGAGGCUAGUCCUCGUGCAUGAACCCGAUCGCAUGUCACAGAAGCAACUUGCCGUGAAAUCCGCUAAUGCGCCGCGACUCGCCCACCAGGCAUGUAGCCACAGCAAAUUAUUGCUCAUUUGAUACUGAGAAUUCUAUUGACCAUGGCUUUCGUCGGAGAGAGAAUUCCAACUACUCGGCUGCUCUGCCGUCAGUCAGAGCUGAGGCUGGGGACGUGGCAAAGCUAAAACCCCAGUAAAUUGAGCCCUCUGCCUCCAGGAAUUGAUGGAGAUGUGUUCAUUACAUGGGGCCACGUGGACGUGCAUAGAAAUCUGCUUUUUACUCUGCUGGCCUUGCCCCCAUUCGGGCGAAAGGUCGGCCCCUUUGGAACAUAACUGCCUUCUUGCAGGACUGGGCAUUCGUUUGCCUCUCCUGGAUCCCUCCUGGCAGCCUAUUUCCAGCUCUGGCCAGGUUGGGGCGAUUAAAUGAUGCAAGGGAAGAUUGUUCCUCAUUCUGUGGUCAAAGCCACCCCAGUUUGGACUGUUAAAGAAAUUAUGAAAACGUCCCCUCCACAAACAAACAAAACCACCUUCCUAAAAUGCCCAGAUGAACGCUCUCUGGUCCAGAUGUCAUUUCCUAAAUUAAACUGCACCACCCAUACCCUACCCCUUUCUGGACCCCAAGUAGCCCUGGAGGGGCUGAGCUGGGGCACAGGGAGCUCGAACAUCGUCUGUUCCCUCUGGUCGGUCGGAGUGGGCAUCCAGCCUGAAUCCAGCGUGUCCCUUGGCAGCGGGGUGGAGAAGCCACCCGGGCCUGGAAAAUGCCUGACCUUUGACACUUGGACCUGCAGCUCCAGGGCUUGAGAGGCUGGAGAGGGAGGCCAGCUGGGAGAAGAGGCUGGAGAUGAGGACCCAAGGGGACAAUGGGAGAGGCUGGGAUUGCUGGUGGCGCAAUCUGCCUUCACCUGAAAGCAGCCGGGCCACCCGAUGCCUUCCUCCUCCCCAGGGCGGCUGUCUCCGGACUUCAGCGGGUCUCUCACCACCUGCAUCCUGACGUCCCGCGGAAGGGCUCCCCACCUGGAGGAUGCCUCGGCCUCGCAAGAUAGGAGCAAGAGGGAGAAACGGCCCGACGGCCGGCAGCGGCUGAGCUAGUGGGCCUCCAGGGCCUGUCAGAUUUCCCUGCAAGGAGGGAUCCACUUCCAGCCCCUCACACUCUCCGCUUCAAGUGAACCGAGCCACCUGGAGGAGCCAGGUCCCUGGGGACUCCGUGGAGCGGAUGGCUUGGUUGGGUUUCAUUUCUACACCAACCAAGAGCUAAGCCCUAUCGGUUAGGUUCCAGAACAAAAGGAGAACCAAUGAAGGACUUGACCAACGAGCCCCCCAGACCACGCGGCAGGCCAAACAGCACCAGCUCCAAAUCUGAAGGCGCAUUUGGGGACUCUAAGGGACCUGGCUUGGAAGUUAUUUUUCUAAUGCUGCUAUUACGUGUGCAUGAAGCUAUGUGCACUCCGGGAGUCCAAGAUCCCAGACCCCUUGCGCAGCCGGGAGCCACUUUGCCCCGGAAUAAGGCAGUGAACUGGUGGGCGCACGCGCAGCUCACGCGGGAGUCACCCACGAGCAGCAGCGUGGAGACGCGGGUGGAUUCUGACUCGGCGUGGGGAGGGGGAUGUGUAAGAUGAGAUGCACACUGUGGAUUUUUCUGGUUUUGCCUUUUUGUUUUUUAACGUAGAUAACUAGCUCCCGGCGUCGGGGUAACCGGCGCGCUCCCAAGGCUGGAAAUGUGCACACCGCCCGCCAAGCUUGGAGAAUCCAGCCCACGGAGGUUUCGGAAACCCGGUUUUCCUGGUUUCAACCGGACUCUGAAACCCCACGAUCCUCUCCGGGGGUGGGGGAGAGUGGCCGGCCCUGGCCAAGCAGGCAGUCCCACGCACGCGCGCGCUCACGCACGCCCGGCGUUCCUAGGAUCCAAGGCCGUAUGCAAAGCGAACCAAGUCUCCGGAACUGCUCCAAUCCAGCAACCAAUAAGGCAGCGACGUUCUAAAAGUUAUUUGGGGGAACGAGGCUGAAACCUGAAAAGUUAAAGGCACGGCACAGGGCACCCAGCCUUCUACUGCAGCGAGGCAGAACUGAGAACUGCCUCGCUGGCCCGGCGCUGUCACCGAAAGAGACGCGGAAAUGUCUUCUCAUCACGUACAAAGCAGCGCCCAAGUCCGACGGCGAGCUCACCUCCGUGUAGGAGGCACCCUGGCUCUGCCAUCGCACUUCCCAGCCACCCUCUCGGCGCUUCCUCCGGGUGUUUCCAGGCAAAUGAAAGGAGCGGGAUUCGAGAUCGAGAUCGUAAAUUAUUUUGUUCAGCCUUCUGUCUUUUUUAUGAAAAUAAAAUCCAACACUUUGUCAUUUUUAAUCACAUAAGCAGACAAUAAAUCUAAUUCCUAUAUUGA